rnacentral:lncRNA from 1 species
CGAGCUUUGGUCUGUUUAGGCCCUUUUCUCACGCUUGUACCAAUCCCACAGAGGAGAAAGGAACACAGUAAUGAUAUUGACAAUAAGAUACAAAGGACAUGACACAGAUUUGCUUUUUAAAGGGACCUGCUUGGUAGCACACUGGAGCCCUCCAUAUCAUUAACGGUGGUGUUGCAGGCUGCAGAGUAGAAGGGCUGAAGGCAGGUUGGGAAAAGCUAAAGGUAGGUUGGAAAAAGUGGGAAGCGGAUGGUGAAAAGGGCCGCCUUUGGAUUCUCGCAUCACAUUGUAUAGCUUGAUGUGCUUGCAUAGAAAGUUGAGCUUCCUAAGACAGAAGCCAUCAAUCAUGAGGGUUCUUUGAUUUCACAGUUGAGAGAAUAAGAUCAAACAGAUGAGAGAAUUUGUGCAAAACACCAGACUUGAUUACCAGUGCCAUUGCUGGCCAGUUUUCAUUUUCA